rnacentral:piRNA from 1 species
UGCAAAGAGUACUUGAUGGAAACUCCAGGC